rnacentral:rRNA from 1 species
AGGAUAAACGCUGGCGGCGUGCCUAACACAUGCAAGUCGAACGCGCUUUCGGGCUUCGGUGCGAGAGCGAGUGGCGGACGGGUGAGUAACACAUGGGUACCUACCUUGGAGUGAGGGAUACCGGCGAGAAAUCGCCGACAAUACCGCAUAGGCUUCUUCACAAGGGGAGCAAAGUGACGCGAGUCACGCUUUGAGAUGGGCCUGUGGCCGAUUAGCUAGUUGGGGGGUAACGGCUUCCCAAGGCGACGAUCGGUAGCUGGUCUGAGAGGACGAUCAGCCACACUGGGAUUGAGAACGGCCCAGACUCCUACGGGGGGCAGCAGUGAGGAAUUUUCCGCAAUGGAGGCAACUCUGACGGAGCAACGCCGCGUGCAGGAGGAAGGUUUUCGGAUCGUAAACUGUCUUUUCGUCGGGGACGAGCAAGGACGGUACCCGAGGAAGAAGCCCCGGCUAACUACGCGCCAGCAGCCGC